CUGCAUGAGAAGCAAAAACUUGCAGGGCGAAGAAGCAGUUCUCUCGUUUGUAGCCGCUUUUCUUGGUUAAAAUCAGUCAUGACGUCAAGGCAACUCUUCAUUAGCUACCUGCUUCUCAGCUUCCUCACGGCAAUGACCUCAGGAGUGUGGUGGAGACCAUUCAGGCC